CAGUCUGUUCAAAGCAAUUCUGCGUGUAUGUGUGUGUAUAUAUAUGAAUAUGCCAGUAUUUUUGCGUGUGUGUGCGUGUUUGUGUCUGUGCGGGGAGAACAGCUGCGUUACAGAGCCUGUCGUGGGCGUGAGUUAAUUAGUGCAGAAGAUGAUUGUGUUAUUUGGGCGGCCGACCAGCACCGGGGUUCAAAGUGAAGGGAGGCAGGUGAGCUUGUACGGCCUGCAGCUGCAUGUUAAACAACUCAAAUGGAAUCAGAGAAAGGCCCGCGAGGGGGAGGAAACGCUGAGUGAGAGAGAAGCAAGUAAGCGAAGGUAAUGGCUGGCUUGAGCAUUUUCCAGUCAACUACUGGAUGACAUGGAACAACCCGGACAAGCUAAGAUCAUAACAAAGACAUCUACACUGAACAGUGGAGAAUCGCAUGAAAUAUGGAACAGCUACAUGAGGAAAGAUGGAAGGACUUCCUACGCUUUCCUUCUGUUGGCAGACAUCACAAGCCCUGCAGCUUCACCGAUGGGCCAAGAGGAGAUAGGCUGCUGGGCUCUGUUUUGGUUCAUGGGAGACAUGCUCAUGAAGAAGACUUCCUAUGAAUUAUGCAGCCAAUUUCACUUAGAGGCAUUAUAGUCCCCUGUAAUGCCAAUAUGUAUCAUUCAGCAGCCUGAUUCUCCUCUUUAGUUCAUUCGCACAACGUAUGAUGUGGGACAUGAACUCCUCAGGUUGUCUGCAUCAUUGCAUCGCUAAUGAGGCCCCAUUACCUGUCGUGACAUGCACAACAUGAGGGCGUCAUUAUAAAAGCAAUAAAUGUCUUUGGUCACUAAACUCAUCUGAUCU